AUGGGAGGGUGCGGCGCUGGCGGGCCGAUCUGCGCCGCCAGGACUCGCCCGACCCGCGGGACGCUCGAUCCGGUGACACACCAGUCGCCGGUCGUCGGCCCGGCCAACCGACGACGGAGAUCACAUCACCCUGCACCAUCAUUCUGCCUCAGCUCAUCCUUCCUCUGCGCACCCGAGCUCCUCGAUGUGUGCUGCCUGGGAGGGCUCGCGCUCGCCGCUCGACCAGAGCCACACGGCCAUCCGGUCGUCGUUGCACUCGCCGCCCCCUCUGCUCCUCCACCUCAACUUCGGACGCACGUGAUUUCUGUGCCCACCCCAUGCUACCAGAGGAAACCGCAGGCCAGUUUCUCUGGAUGA
rnacentral:rRNA from 1 species